rnacentral:rRNA from 1 species
GGUUAAGCGACUAAGCGUACACGGUGGAUGCCCUGGCAGUCAGAGGCGAUGAAGGACGUGCUAAUCUGCGAUAAGCGUCGGUGAGGUGAUAUGAACCGUUAUAACCGGCGAUUUCCGAAUGGGGAAACCCAGUGUGUUUCGACACACUAUCAUUAACUGAAUCCAUAGGUUAAUGAGGCGAACCGGGGGAACUGAAACAUCUAAGUACCCCGAGGAAAAGAAAUCAACCGAGAUUCCCCCAGUAGCGGCGAGCGAACGGGGAGGAGCCCAGAGCCUGAAUCAGUGUGUGUGUUAGUGGAAGCGUCUGGAAAGGCGCGCGAUACAGGGUGACAGCCCCGUACACAAAAAUGCACAUACUGUGAGCUCGAUGAGUAGGGCGGGACACGUGGUAUCCUGUCUGAAUAUGGGGGGACCAUCCUCCAAGGCUAAAUACU